rnacentral:rRNA from 1 species
AUUGAACGCUAGCGGGAUGCUUUACACAUGCAAGUCGAACGGCAGCGCGGACUUCGGUCUGGCGGCGAGUGGCGAACGGGUGAGUAAUGUAUCGGAACGUGCCCAGUAGCGGGGGAUAACUACGCGAAAGCGUAGCUAAUACCGCAUACGCCCUACGGGGGAAAGCAGGGGAUCGUAAGACCUUGCACUAUUGGAGCGGCCGAUAUCGGAUUAGCUAGUUGGUGAGGUAACGGCUCACCAAGGCGACGAUCCGUAGCUGGUUUGAGAGGACGACCAGCCACACUGGGACUGAGACACGGCCCAGACUCCUACGGGAGGCAGCAGUGGGGAAUUUUGGACAAUGGGGGCAACCCUGAUCCAGCCAUCCCGCGUGUGCGAUGAAGGCCUUCGGGUUGUAAAGCACUUUUGGCAGGAAAGAAACGUCGCGGGCUAAUACCCCGUGGAACUGACGGUACCUGCAGAAUAAGCACCGGCUAACCACGUG